rnacentral:lncRNA from 1 species
UAACACCCUUUAUAAUACUUAAAGCAGUCCUCAAGUAUCGUCGACCAGUAAUAACCAUUGUUUCUAAUCAUCCACUUCAUUUUUGAGCUGACUGAUGAGCCCCACAUACGCCUUCGUCAAUUUCUCCCAUCAGAACCUUCACCUCUUCUGUCCGAAGGCAUUUGAGCAUAACCCCAUCAAUCGUCUGGUAAAACAAAUCAUCUUCAAGUAACACGUAUUUCAUGAUCUAAAAUCAUAUUCGCUGACCCACUUUCUUGGAUGGUUCUUUUAAGUAAUCGGCGAUCUCCU